rnacentral:rRNA from 1 species
UACAGAGGGUGCGAGCGUUAAUCGGAAUUACUGGGCGUAAAGCGUGCGUAGACGGCUAUCUAAGUCGGGUGUGAAAGCCCCGGGCUCAACCUGGGAAUUGCAUUCGAGACUGAAUAGCUAGGGUACGGUAGAGGGAAGCGGAAUUUCCGGUGUAGCGGUGAAAUGCGUAGAUAUCUGGAGGAAUACCGGUGGCGAAGGCGGCAUCCUGGACCGGCAUUGACGCUGAACAGCGAAAGCUAGGGGAGCAAACGGG